rnacentral:rRNA from 1 species
GAUGAACGCUGGCGGCGUGCCUAAUACAUGCAAGUCGAGCGAACGGACGAGAAGCUUGCUUCUCUGAUGUUAGCGGCGGACGGGUGAGUAACACGUGGAUAACCUACCUAUAAGACUGGGAUAACUUCGGGAAACCGGAGCUAAUACCGGAUAAUAUUUUGAACCGCAUGGUUCAAAAGUGAAAGACGGUCUUGCUGUCACUUAUAGAUGGAUCCGCGCUGCAUUAGCUAGUUGGUAAGGUAACGGCUUACCAAGGCAACGAUGCAUAGCCGACCUGAGAGAGUGAGCGGCCACACUGGAACUGAGACACGGUCCAGACUCCUACGGGAGGCAGCAGUAGGGAAUCUUCCGCAAUGGGCGAAAGCCUGACGGAGCAACGCCGCGUGAGUGAUGAAGGUCUUCGGAUCGUAAAACUCUGUUAUUAGGGAAGAACAUAUGUGUAAGUAACUGUGCACAUCUUGACGGUACCUAAUCAGAAAGCCACGGCUAACUACGUG